UACGUAGGGUGCAAGCGUUGUCCGGAAUUAUUGGGCGUAAAGGGCUCGUAGGCGGUUUGUCGCGUCGGGAGUGAAAACCUACAGCUUAACUGUGGGCUUGCUUUCGAUACGGGCAGACUAGAGGUAUGCAGGGGAGAACGGAAUUCCUGGUGUAGCGGUGAAAUGCGUAGAUAUCUGGAGGAACACCGGUGGCGAAGGCGGCAUCCUGGACCGGCAUUGACGCUGAGGCGCGAAAGCUAGGGGAGCAAACGGGG
rnacentral:rRNA from 1 species